rnacentral:misc_RNA from 1 species
AACGCACAUUGCGCCCCUUGGUAUUCCAUGGGGCAUGCCUGUUCGAGCGUCAUUUGUAAACUCAAGCUCUGCUUGGUGUUGGGUGUUUGUCUUUUCUAAAGACUUGCCCUAAAUACAUUGGCAGCUAGUAUAUUAGUUUGAAGCGCAGCACAUUUGCAAUUCGAGCUGGUUAUAUUGGCAUCCAGGAAGCAUAACAUCACGUUUGACCUCGGAUCAGGUAGGGAUACCCGCUGAACUUAA